GAAAGCUGAAGCUCAGUGGCAGAGUGCAUGCUUUGCCUGCAGAAGGUCCCUGGUUCAAUCCCGGGCACCUUCC